GCUCUGGUGGUGUAGUCCGGCCAAUCAUCUUGCCCUCUCACGGCAAGGACCAGGGUUCGAAUCCCUGCCGGAGCAC
rnacentral:tRNA from 3 species